AAUAAGAUGCCUGAAUAAAGGAUUAUUUUGAUAGAAUAAAUUAUGUAAUUUAAUAUUACUCUUAUUA
rnacentral:tRNA from 1 species